rnacentral:rRNA from 1 species
CCUACGGGAGGCAGCAGUGAGGAAUAUUGGUCAAUGGGCGGAAGCCUGAACCAGCCAAGUCGCGUGAGGGUAUAAGGCCCUACGGGUCGUAAACCUCUUUUGCCGGGGAGCAAGGGCCGGGACGCGUCCCGGCCCGGAGAGUACCCGGAGAAAAAGCAUCGGCUAACUCCGUGCCAGCAGCCGCGGUAAUACGGAGGAUGCGAGCGUUAUCCGGAUUUUUUGGGUUUAAAGGGUGCGUAGGCGGGCUUUUAAGUCAGCGGUAAAAAUUCGGGGCCCAACCCCGACCGGCCGUUGAACCUGGGGGCCUUGAGUGGGCGAGAAGAAGGCGGAAUGCGUGGUGUAGCGGUGAAAUGCAUAGAUAUCACGCAGAACCCCGAUUGCGAAGGCAGCCUGCCGGCGCCCGACUGACGCUGAGGCACGAAAGUGCGGGGAUCGAACAGGAUUAGAUACCCGAGUAGUC